AGUUUCAGUUUACAGAAGAGAAAUCUCCACCAAAGUCUAUGAUCAAUCCCAAAUAUUGGUUCAGAAAGAAGGAUGGAAGGGAAUUGGGCAGUUGUGGAGCAUCUACUGUGUGCCAGACAUCAUGCUGGCAAAGAUGUCACACAGUACAUGGAUUUGCUGGUUUGGUCAUCACAACAACCCCAUGAGAGAGGGAUACAUACUGCGAUUUGUAGGUGAUGCCAACCAAACAUGGAGGUUGCCUUAAAGCAUUAACCUGAGUCUGAAGAAUGAACACAUGGAAAUGAUGCUCAUGACGAGGUUAAUAAUCACACAAAAAGAAUAAUUCUGAGAUUAGCAAUUUACAACUACCCUUGGGCAUGCCUGCCAGCCCCAGGGAAGGAGAGAGGAGAAUCCAAGAAGGUCCUGGAAAGUUACCAGAGAGGAUGAGUUUCGAGGCAGUUGCAUGUAAAUGUGGCUUAGCCAAUGGGAAAGGAAGGGAUAUGUGUCCUGGGACAGGGUCUGUGACUUCAAAAGAUGUGAAAACUCUUCCUCAUCUGUUGAUAGCACAUUUUUCUCCAUCCAAGGGAGGAAAAAUAAGCCCAGCCAGGUAAGCACCCAGAAUAACAGAUGUGUUUUUCCAAGAUUAUGCCCAAGGGACAGAAAAUAAAGAUUCUGCUGGAUACAGACGUCCUAAAAGCAGCAAGUUUAUCCUGUAACCUUGCCAAGGCAAUGUCUGCCAUUCUCAAUGCUAAGCCAGAGUAAGAGAGAAAAGAAUAUUCAAGGAGUAAAUCAACUUGAAGCUCCAAGUCAAACAAGAAGUUAGUCAUUAAAUUUGGGCUGUGCCUCUCAUUCCUCACUGUCGUAGAAUUUUAGCAGAGCUAGUUUUGUCUUGAAGGCUGAGACACACUGGAAGGAAUCAGAAAGGCCUGUGUUGGGAUCAACGCUCUGCCAUUUAUUGCAUGAAUACAGGUAAGUGACUUAGCCUCUCUGAUUUGAGGAAUGUUUGGAAGGCAGACAUCACCCCAAAAUAACUACCCAUCCUGCAACUGAUGUUUGCUAUCAUACAAUUAACAGUAAGUUUUCCCUGCUAUUAAGGAUUCCCAUUAUCUGCAGUCCUGCUUAAUUCAGAAGAACUAGGAGACCAAACACUAGCAACAUGCCAAGGACAUUGAGCUAAUGAGUGGCAGAACCUGGACUCAAGCUCAUACCUGCUCAGCUCCAAAGCCUAUGCUCUUAUCACUAUCCCUUCUUAUCUUCCAAUAGGUGACCAAGAAAGCCAGUACCCACAGGCUGGGCUCAAAUUAAAUCAAGCUUAAUACCUAAUCCUAAUUAAGACAGCAGUAUGGAACAGAGAAAAUAGCACUGAACCAGGUUUGGACACUUAUGAGGUUUGUAUGACCCUAAAAAAGUGUUCAUUUUACUUUACUGAGCUUCAGUUUUCCUCAUAGGAAAACUAGGAAUAAUGCCCAUGUCAGUCAAGGUAGGAUAAAUUGUGACGCAGCAACAAAUAGCACCAGAAUGCCAGUGAUUUAAAGCAAUGAAGAUUUUCUUUGUUUUGUUUUUUGCUGGUGCUAUGUGUACCUCUCGGUUCAUCUGUCAUCUGGGGCUUCUUCUCUACACUAGCCUCACUCCAGAACCUAUGCUGAUGGAGCAGCCAUUGAUUGGAACACUUCUGCCCACCCUUGUGGAGGAAACAGAGAAACUGAGAUGGCCUCAUGCCUGCACUUAAAUGCUCAGCUUGAAGUUGACAAUUAUUUCACAACUUCUUAGAAAGAACUGGUUACAUAGUAUCCCCAACCACUGUGGGCCAGAAAUCAUGCUCCUACUAUUCUCUUAGAAGAAUGAAGAGUUGAACCAUUUGGCGAAUGGCAUAUUUAAUGGCUACCCAGUUGCCCACCUGGGCUACUUCAAAGGGCUGCCAGUAAGAUUAAGUAAAAAAACUUGUAGGAAGAUGUAGUAUAGUAAUCUCUAUAUUUUUGAGCCUUAGAGAGCAGUAAAUGAAUAACUCCCCAUCUCUUUUUUUUCCCCCACUUGAAUGUACUUUCUUCUGAGAAAUUUGAUUGGUGGGGACUUGUAGUGUUUCUGCUGAGGUCAGAUGCUUGCAUUUCCUAGCUAAUACUGUCACAAGACAUUGAAAUGGUAAAGCCAACUCUGAGCCCAUGAAAAAAGUGUUUAAUAUGUGAAAAAGAUUAUAGAAUUCUAGGAUUUUAGAUCUACAAGAGAUCUUGACAGUCCUCAGUCCAUGUGCUUAUUUUUUCAGAGAAAGUAAGAGAAGCCCAGAGAAGGACCAUGACUUGCCCACAGCCAGACAGCAAGAUAGUGGCAGGGCUGCAACCAGAGUCCAGGCCUCCUGACUCCCAGCAACACGAAACUAUAGAUUCCUUUAUUAUGAUUUUGCAUUCUGAUGUGGAACAUUUAUACCAAACCCAGAGUGGCUAAUCUGCUUUUCCUUUAAGUUCUUUGAGUCAGUGAUCUCGUUGGACACAUAAAACAUUCCUCAGUAAUCAAGCAAGGAAAAACAAAAGAUCAUCUAUACCUAGUCUUUAGUCUGCAAAGGCCUAAUUCAAUAAGCAUUAAAUGACUUAUUACAGAGAAUUGGAGAAAGAUUCUAGGAAAGCCAAAACUUAAAAAAAAAAAAAGACAAAAAUAAACGAAAUUUUUGUCCUC